GGGGUUGUAGCUCAGUGGUAGAGUACUUGCCUUGCAUGCAUUAGGCCCUGGGUUCGAUCCUCAGCACCA
rnacentral:tRNA from 1 species